AAAAAAGGUAAGCUACUAAGAGCGAAUGGUGGAUGCCUUGACUGGUAAAGGCGAUGAAGGACGUACUAGACUGCGAUAAGCUACGGGGAGCUGUCAAGAAGCUUUGAUCCGUAGAUUUCCGAAUGGGGCAACCCAAUGUAUAGAGAUAUACAUUACCUAUAUAGGAGCGAACGAGGGGAAUUGAAACAUCUUAGUACCCUCAGGAAAAGAAAUCAAUAGAGAUUGCGUCAGUAGCGGCGAGCGAAAGCGCAAGAGGGCAAACCCAGUGCUUGCACUGGGGGUUGUAGGACUGCAAUGUGCAAGAGCUGAGUUUAGCAGAACAUUCUGGAAAGUAUAGCCAUAGAGGGUGAUAGUCCCGUAUGCGAAAAACAAAGCUUAGCUAGCAGUAUCCUGAGUAGGGCGGGACACGAGAAAUCCUGUCUGAAUCCGGGUCGACCACGAUCCAACCCUAAAUACUAAUACCAGAUCGAUAGUGCACAAGUACCGUGAGGGAAAGGUGAAAAGAACUGAGGUGAUCAGAGUGAAAUAGAACCUGAAACCAUUUGCUUACAAUCAUUCAGAGCACUAUGUAGCAAUACAGUGUGAUGGACUGCCUUUUGCAUAAUGAGCCUGCGAGUUGUGGUGUCUGGCAAGGUUAAGCAAACGCGAAGCCGUAGCGAAAGCGAGUCUGAAUAGGGCGCUUAGUCAGAUGCUGCAGACCCGAAACGAAGUGAUCUAUCCAUGAGCAAGUUGAAGCUAGUGUAAGAACUAGUGGAGGACUGAACCCAUAGGCGUUGAAAAGCCCCGGGAUGACUUGUGGAUAGGGGUGAAAGGCCAAUCAAACUUCGUGAUAGCUGGUUCUCUCCGAAAUAUAUUUAGGUAUAGCGUUGUGUCGUAAUAUAAGGGGGUAGAGCACUGAAUGGGCUAGGGCAUACACCAAUGUACCAAACCCUAUCAAACUCCGAAUACCUUAUAUGUAAUCACAGCAGUCAGGCGGCGAGUGAUAAAAUCCGUCGUCAAGAGGGAAACAACCCAGACUACCAGCUAAGGUCCCUAAAUCUUACUUAAGUGGAAAACGAUGUGAAGUUACUUAAACAACCAGGAGGUUGGCUUAGAAGCAGCCAUCCUUUAAAGAAAGCGUAAUAGCUCACUGGUCUAGUGAUUUUGCGCGGAAAAUAUAACGGGGCUAAAGU
rnacentral:rRNA from 1 species